GACGAACGCUGGCGGCGUGCUUAACACAUGCAAGUCGAACGGAAAGGCCCUGCUUUUGUGGGGUGCUCGAGUGGCGAACGGGUGAGUAACACGUGAGUAACCUGCCCUUGACUUUGGGAUAACUUCAGGGAACUGGGGCUAAUACCGGAUAGGAGCUCCUGCUGCAUGGUGGGGGUUGGAAAGUUUCGGCGGUUGGGGAUGGACUCGCGGCUUAUCAGCUUGUUGGUGGGGUAGUGGCUUACCAAGGCUUUGACGGGUAGCCGGCCUGAGAGGGUGACCGGACACAUUGGGACUGAGAUACGGCACAGACUCCUACGGGAGGCAGGAGUGGGGAAUAUUGCACAAUGGGCGGAAGCCUGAUGCAGCAACGCCGCGUGCGGGAUGACGGCAUUCGGGUUGUAAACCGCUUUCGCCUGUGAAGAAGUGUGAGUGACGGUAAUGGGUAAAGAAGCACCGGCUAACUACGUG
rnacentral:rRNA from 1 species